rnacentral:rRNA from 1 species
GACGAACGCUGGCGGCGUGCUUAACACAUGCAAGUCGAACGGAAAGGCCCUGCUUUUGUGGGGUGCUCGAGUGGCGAACGGGUGAGUAACACGUGAGUAACCUGCCCUUGACUUUGGGAUAACUUCAGGAAACUGGGGCUAAUACCGGAUAUGAGCUCCUGCUGCAUGGUGGGGGUUGGAAAGUUUCGGCGGUUGGGGAUGGACUCGAGGCUUAUCAGCUUGUUGGUGGGGUAGUGGCUUACCAAGGCUUUGACGGGUAGCCGGCCUGAGAGGGUGACCGGCCACAUUGGGACUGAGGUGCGGCCCAGACUCCUACGGGAGGCAGCGGUGGGGAAUAGUGCAAAAUGGGCGGAAGGCUGAUGCAGCAACGCCGCGUGCGGGAUGACGGUCUUCGGGUUGUAAACCGCUUUCGCCUGUAACGAAGAGUGAGUGACGGUAAUGGGUAAAGAAGCACCGGCUAACUACGUG